UAACGGCCGCGGUAUUUUGACCGUGCAAAGGUAGCGCAAUCACUUGUCUUUUAAAUAGAGACCUGUAUGAAUGGCCAAACGAGGGCUUAACUGUCUCCCCCUUCCAGUCAGUGAAAUUGAUCUAUCCGUGCAGAAGCGGGUAUAAAUAUACAAGACGAGAAGACCCUUUGGAGCUUAAGGUACAAAGUUUAACCAUGUUAAACAACUUAUUAAAAAGCAAAAACUUAAUGGAAAAUAAACAUUUACCUUCGGUUGGGGCGACCGCGGAGGAAAAAUCAGCCUCCGAGUGGAACGGGCUAAAUACCUAAAACCAAGAGAGACAUCUCUAAGCCGCAGAAAAUCUGACCAAAAAUGAUCCGACACAUAGUCGAUCAACGAACCAAGUUACCCUAGGGAUAACAGCGCAAUCCUCUCCCAGAGUCCAUAUCGACGAGGGGGUUUACGACCUCGAUGUUGGAUCAGGACAUCCUAAUGGUGCAGCCGCUAUUAAGGGUUCGUUUGUUCAACGAUUAAAGUCCUACGUGAUCUGAGUUCAGACCGGAGUAAUCCAGGUCAGUUUCUAUCUGUAAUGCUACU
rnacentral:rRNA from 1 species